rnacentral:rRNA from 1 species
AUUGAACGCUGGCGGCAGGCCUAACACAUGCAAGUCGAGCGGAUGAGGAAAGCUUGCUUUUCGAUUCAGCGGCGGACGGGUGAGUAAUGCCUAGGAAUCUGCCUGUUAGUGGGGGAUAACUCGGGGAAACUCGGGCUAAUACCGCAUACGUCCUACGGGAGAAAGUGGGGGAUCUUCGGACCUCACGCUAACAGAUGAGCCUAGGUCGGAUUAGCUAGUAGGUGAGGUAAUGGGUCACCUAGGCGACGAUCCGUAACUGGUCUGAGAGGAUGAUCAGUCACACUGGAACUGAGAAACGGUCCAGACUGCUACGGGAGGCAGCAGUGGGGAAUAUUGGACAAUGGGCGAAAGCCUGAUCCAGCCAUGCCGCGUGUGUGAAGAAGGUCUUCGGAUUGUAAAGCACUUUAAGUUGGGAGGAAGGGUAUUCACCUAAUACGUGGGUACUUUGACGUUACCAACAGAAUAAGCACCGGCUAACUCUGUGCCAGCAGCCGCCGUAAGAC